CGAAGCUCACCCGACCCGCAACUCCCAUCACUACGAUCCCAGAAUGCCUAGCGACCGACGUCAGAGCUGCUACCUAGUUCCGGUUGUAGUGGCGGUGGCUGAAGCUCUUUAGUGGAACAUCUGUCAAAGGAACAACUCCUCUCUUAACACCAACCACCACCACCACCACUACAACAACAGCACUAACAACAACAGCACCAAAUACUGCGGGAUAUUAUGUAUACAUUACUUUAGGGAAAAGCUGGCAGUUAUCCAGGAUGUAAUUUUAACAAUCAAAUGUGGAAUACUUUUGUACCUAACUUUUUAACAAAAGGAACAGAAAAACUCUUUAAAAAUGCCCAAGCCUCACAAACAUUCACCAUGAUGUAGGGAAGACAAAUAUACCGCAGAACAUUGGCAGUUCCCAAACUGGAUAGAUAAAUAAUUGUUUCUGUAGGCCUUUGUGCCUCUUCCUUGUUUACAGUUGUGCUUUGACAAAUACAGACUAACAACAACAAAGAGAGAGAGAGAGACAAAUACACACAUACAGACAGAGAAAGAGAGUAUUUAUUUGAAAUUUUAUAAAGUGAGGAGUGACUCUUCCUCCACUUUCAGGAUGUGUACGAACUGUAAACUUUUAGCUGAUCCAUUGCUACAUCAGUUGUUUCUUGACUCUAGCACGUGCAAGAGCUCAUCUGCAGUCCAGAGCAUUUUAUCUUCCUAUCCUAUUAAUCUGUCAUUCACCCCACCCACAGACCACUUCAUCUCCUUGCUGAUACUCUCUCCUUCUAGUUCUUCUACAUCCUCUCUUACACUACCUAUAGCAGCAGCAGCAACAACAAACUCAUUUUGAUUAGUUACUCAGCAAUCUGCCACUUGGGAUGAUCAGACGUACUAGUCUCCCCAUAACAAUCAGG
rnacentral:lncRNA from 1 species